AGCUCCAAUAGCGUAUAUUAAAGUUGUUGCAGUUAAAAAGCUCGUAGUUGGAUUUCUGGUGUCUUUUUGCGUUUCCUUCUUUGCCAGCGAAAUGCUGGUGUUGGUCGCAAUGGAUGCCUUCUUUCUCCGCUAAUUUGUCGCUGAAUCAUUAGUUUGGCUCGGUGAUGAAUGGGGAUCAUUUACUGUGAAAAAUUAGAGUGUUCAAAGCAAGUAUUAUUUCUUGAAUACAUUAGCGUGGAAUAAUAAGAUAGGACUUGGGUAAUAUUUUGUUGGUUUGCAUAUCCAGGUAAUGAUUAAUAGGAACAUAUUGGGGAUAUCUGUAUUUUUUAGUCAGAGGUGAAAUUCUUGGAUUUAAGAAGGACAAACUACAGCGAAAGCAUUUAUCAGGGAUGUUU
rnacentral:rRNA from 1 species